GCAAGUCGAGCGGACAGAUGGGAGCUUGCUCCCUGAUGUUAGCGGCGGACGGGUGAGUAACACGUGGGUAACCUGCCUGUAAGACUGGGAUAACUCCGGGAAACCGGGGCUAAUACCGGAUGGUUGUUUGAACCGCAUGGUUCAAACAUAAAAGGUGGCUUCGGCUACCACUUACAGAUGGACCCGCGGCGCAUUAGCUAGUUGGUGAGGUAAYGGCUCACCAAGGCAACGAUGCGUAGCCGACCUGAGAGGGUGAUCGGCCACACUGGGACUGAGACACGGCCCAGACUCCUACGGGAGGCAGCAGUAGGGAAUCUUCCGCAAUGGACGAAAGUCUGACGGAGCAACGCCGCGUGAGUGAUGAAGGUUUUCGGAUCGUAAAGCUCUGUUGUUAGGGAAGAACAAGURCCGUUCGAAUAGGGCGGUACCUUGACGGUACCUAACCAGAAAGCCACGGCUAACUACGUGCCAGCAGCCGCGGUAAUACGUAGGUGGCAAGCGUUGUCCGGAAUUAUUGGGCGUAAAGGGCUCGCAGGCGGUUUCUUAAGUCUGAUGUGAAAGCCCCCGGCUCAACCGGGGAGGGUCAUUGGAAACUGGGGAACUUGAGUGCAGAAGAGGAGAGUGGAAUUCCACGUGUAGCGGUGAAAUGCGUAGAGAUGUGGAGGAACACCAGUGGCGAAGGCGACUCUCUGGUCUGUAACUGACGCUGAGGAGCGAAAGCGUGGGGAGCGAACAGGAUUAGAUACCCUGGUAGUCCACGCCGUAAACGAUGAGUGCUAAGUGUUAGGGGGUUUCCGCCCCUUAGUGCUGCAGCUAACGCAUUAAGCACUCCGCCUGGGGAGUACGGUCGCAAGACUGAAACUCAAAGGAAUUGACGGGGG
rnacentral:rRNA from 1 species